AUGAACGCUGGCGGCGUGGAUAAGGCAUGCAAGUCAAACGGACCGCCUCCGCAAGGAGGCGAUUAGUGGCGAACGAGUUAGUAACACCCUGGUACGUACCCCGAAGUCGGGCAUAAUCCGCCGAAAGGCGGACUAAUUCCCGAUAGUCCCGAAAGGGUAAAGAAGCAAUUCGCUUCGGGAGCGGCCUAGGUCCCAUCAGCUUGUUGGCGAGGUAAUGGCUCACCAAGGCUAUGACGGGUAGGAGGCGUGAGAGCGCGUCCUCCAACGAGGGAACUGAGACACGGUCCUUACACCUACGGGUGGCUGCAGUCGAGAAUAUUUGACAAUGGGCGAAAGCCUGAUCGAGCGACGCCGCGUGCAGGAAGAAGGGCUUCGGCCUGUAAACUGCUUUUGCGUGGGAAGAAUCCGGCUUAUGCCGGAGUGACGGUACCACGAGAAUAAGGGGUUGCUAACCUCGU
rnacentral:rRNA from 1 species